CAUAUUUAUGAAGGAUGCAUCCUUAGACCUCUGGUUGCUUUCACCAUCCAUCAUUUCUAGACCACCUUUCAGUGGUUCAUCCUUAACCUUUGAAAGUGGUGAAAAGAACUGGUGCAUGGAGAUGAACACAAUAGAAAUUCCUAAGACGAAAUUCAUAGUCAGGGUAUGACCAAAAAGUGCAGCAGAUGCUAUUCCUGUAAAAAUUGU
rnacentral:misc_RNA from 1 species